GAUGAACGCUGGCGGCGUGCCUAAUACAUGCAAGUCGAGCGAACGGACGAGAAGCUUGCUUUUCUGAUGUUAGCGGCGGACGGGUGAGUAACACGUGGAUAACCUACCUAUAAGACUGUGAUAACUUCGGGAAACCGGAGCUAAUACCGGAUAAUAUUUUGAACCGCAUGGUUCAAAAGUGAAAGACGGUCUUGCUGUCACUUAUAGAUGGAUCCGCGCUGCAUUAGCUAGUUGGUAAGGUAACGGCUUACCAAGACAACGAUGCAUAGCCGACCUGAGAGGGUGAUCGGCCACACUGGAACUGAGACACGGUCCAGACUCCUACGGGAGGCAGCAGUAGGGAAUCUUCCGCAAUGGGCGAAAGCCUGACGGAGCAACGCCGCGUGAGUGAUGAAGGUCUUCGGAUCGUAAAACUCUGUUAUUAGGGAAGAACAUAUGUGUAAGUAACUGUGCACAUCUUGACGGUACCUAAUCAGAAAGCCACGGCUAACUACGUG
rnacentral:rRNA from 1 species